GGGAGUGUAGCACAGUGGCAGAGCAUUCGACUGCAGAUCGAGAGAUCGAUGGUUCAAAUCCGCCCGCUCUUU